rnacentral:rRNA from 1 species
GAUGAACGCUAGCGGGAGGCCUAACACAUGCAAGCCGAGCGGUAUAGAUCUUUCGGGAUCUUGAGAGCGGCGUACGGGUGCGGAACACGUGUGCAACCAGCCUUUAUCUGGGGGAUAGCCUUUCGAAAGGAAGAUUAAUACCCCAUAAUAUUUAGAAUGGCAUCAUUUUAAAUUGAAAACUCCGGUGGAUAGAGAUGGGCACGCGCAAGAUUAGAUAGUUGGUGAGGUAACGGCUCACCAAGUCUGCGAUCUUUAGGGGGCCUGAGAGGGUGAUCCCCCACACUGGUACUGAGACACGGACCAGACUCCUACGGGAGGCAGCAGUGAGGAAUAUUGGACAAUGGGUGAGAGCCUGAUCCAGCCAUCCCGCGUGAAGGACGACUGCCCUAUGGGUUGUAAACUUCUUUGUAUAGGGAUAAACCUACUCUCGUGAGAGUAGCUGAAGGUACUAUACGAAUAAGCACCGGCUAACUCCGUGCCAGCAGCCGCUGUAACAC